UACGUAGGGCGCAAGCGUUUAUCCGGAAUUAUUGGGCGUAAAGAGCUCGUAGGCGGUUUGUCGCGUCUGCCGUGAAAGUCCGGGGCUCAACCCCGAACUUGCAGUGGGUACGGGCAGACUAGAGUGUGGUAGGGGAGACUGGAAUUCCUGGUGUAGCGGUGAAAUGCGCAGAUAUCAGGAGGAACACCGAUGGCGAAGGCAGGUCUCUGGGCCACUACUGACGCUGAGAAGCGAAAGCAUGGGGGAGCGAACAGG
rnacentral:rRNA from 1 species